CACGUAUGGGGCGAGCGUUGUUCGGAAUUAUUGGGCGUAAAGGGCGCGUAGGCGGAUAUGCAAGUCUGGUGUGAAAGACCGCAGCUCAACUGCGGGCACGCGCUGGAAACUGUAUGUCUUGAAUCCUUGAGGGGGAACUGGAAUUCCAGGUGUAGGGGUGAAAUCUGUAGAUAUCUGGAAGAACACCGGUGGCGAAGGCGAGUUCCUGGCAAGUGAUUGACGCUGAGGCGCGAAAGCGUGGGUAGCAAACAGG
rnacentral:rRNA from 1 species